rnacentral:rRNA from 1 species
GACGAACGCUGGCGGCGUGCUUAACACAUGCAAGUCGAACGGUAAGGCCCUUCGGGGUACACGAGUGGCGAACGGGUGAGUAACACGUGGGUGAUCUGCCCUGCACUUCGGGAUAAGCCUGGGAAACUGGGUCUAAUACCGGAUAGGACCCUGGGAUGCAUGUCCUGGGGUGGAAAGCUUUUGCGGUGUGGGAUGGGCCCGCGGCCUAUCAGCUUGUUGGUGGGGUGAUGGCCUACCAAGGCGACGACGGGUAGCCGGCCUGAGAGGGUGACCGGCCACACUGGGACUGAGAUACUGCCCAGACUCCUACGGGAGGCAGCAGUGGGGAAUAUUGCACAAUGGGCGCAAGCCUGAUGCAGCGACGCCGCGUGAGGGAUGACGGCCUUCGGGUUGUAAACCUCUUUCAGCACCGACGAAGCGCAAGUGACGGUAGGUGCAGAAGAAUGACCGGCCAACUACGUGCCAGCCGCCGCGGUAA